GAUGAAGAACGCAGCAAAAUGUGAUAAGUAAUGUGAAUUGCAGAAUUCAGUGAAUCAUCGAAUCUUUGAACGCACAUUGCGCCCGCCAGUAUUCUGGCGGGCAUGCCUGUUCGAGCGUCAUUUCAACCCUCAAGCACAGCUUGGUGUUGGGACUCGCGUUAAUUCGCGUUCCCCAAAUUGAUUGGCGGUCACGUCGAGCUUCCAUAGCGUAGUAGUAAAACCCUCGUUACUGGUAAUCGUCGCGGCCACGCCGUUAAACCCCAACUUCUGAAUGUUGACCUCGGAUCAGGAAGGAAUACCCGCUGAACUUAAGCAUAUCAAUAAGCGGAGGA
rnacentral:misc_RNA from 1 species